AUUGAACGCUGGCGGCGUGCCUAACACAUGCAAGUCGAGCGGUAACAGGUGUAGCAAUACAUGCUGACGAGCGGCGGACGGGUGAGUAACGCUUGGGAAUCUGCCUAUUAGUGGGGGACAACCCGGGGAAACUCGGGCUAAUACCGCAUACGCACUACGGUGGAAAGCCGGGGACCGCAAGGCCUGGCGCUAACAGAUGAGCCCAAGUCGGAUUAGCUAGUUGGUAGGGUAACGGCCACCAAGGCGACGAUCCGUAACUGGUCUGAGAGGACGACCAGUCACACCGGAACUGAGACACGGUCCGGACUCCUACGGGAGGCAGCAGUGGGGAAUAUUGGACAAUGGGCGAAAGCCUGAUCCAGCGACGCCGCGUGGGUGAAGAAGGCCUGCGGGUUGUAAAGCCCUUUCAGUGGGGAAGAAAAGCCUCGAGCUAACACCUCGGGGUCUUGACGUAACCCAUAGAAGAAGCACCGGCUAACUCUGUGCCAGCCGCCGCA
rnacentral:rRNA from 1 species